GAUGAAGAACGUAGCAAAAUGCGAUACUUGGUGUGAAUUGCAGAAUCCCGUGAACCAUCGAGUUUUUGAACGCAAGUUGCGCCCGAAGCCUUUGGCCGAGGGCACGUCUGCCUGGGCGUCACGCAUCGCGUCGCCCCCCACAAAUUCUCCGUCAGGGGAGCUUGUGUUUCGGGGGCGGAUACUGGUCUCCCGUGCUCAUGGCGCGGUUGGCCGAAAUAGGAGUCCCUUCGAUGGACGCACGAACUAGUGGUGGUCGUAAAAACCCUUGUCUUUUGUUUCGUGCCGUUAGUCGCGAGGGAAGCUCUUCAAAAACCCCAGCGCGUCGUCUCUUGACGGCGCUUCGACCGCGACCCCAGGUCAGGCGGGACUACCCGCUGAGUUUAAGCAUAUCAAUAAGCGGGGA
rnacentral:misc_RNA from 1 species